CUUAUAUUUUGUAUUUUUGCUACUCAUUCAUAGAAAAAAAGGAAAAAUCUUCAAUACUCUAUAUUUAUUUAACUGUUUCUCACUUUAUUCCAAUCUCUAUUUUUCCUUCCUUUCAAAAACUUAGAAAAUCUUGUUGGCCUUCUUUAUACUGUACAUCAUGACUCUGAACCAGUCGUUUUUAUGUUGUGCUAACCAAGGUCCCAGUUUCUAUUGCUGUACAGCUCAUCAUAAACUUUUUAUUUUCUUCUCUCUGACUGACUAAACUACUAAUCUAUUUCACAAUGCUGCCUUAAUUUCUUUCUUUCUUUCUCUCUCUCUCUCUCUCUCUAUCUGUCUGUCUAUCUAUUGUCUAUGUAGCUCUCUCUCUCUCUCUAUAUAUAUAUAUAUAUGUAUAUAUAUAUGUAUGUAUAUAUAUAAUAUACAAGGUGUCCGUAAAUUAUCUUUACAAUGUGACAAAUUGAGGAAAAAAUAAAAAUAAGGAUAACUGAACAGAGUUUAUUGGAAAUCAGGCAAACAGAUACAGUUUUAUUAGAAACAUCAAAAUACUUCCACAUUGGUUGCAUACAACACAGCUAGAUGAUAAAUUGGGAAGAUUGUAAAAAUAAUUUAUGAACACCUAUAUAUGCCUAUGUAUUGUCUGUCUGUCUCUCUAUAUAUAUACAUAUAUUUAUAUAUGUGUGUGUGUGUAUGUGUAUAUAUAUAUAUAUAUAGGUUCAGAAUUUUGUUUACCUCAGAAAUGUUGCCCUUUGUUCAACCCUAUUCAAAUCAAGUGGCCACCUCUGCCAGAGAUACCAUGUCCUGAGAUUUUUCUAUAUGUGCCUUAUAAGGUGUUCUGUUUGAAAUUAUACCUCAGACACCUGGCGCUACCUUUGUUCUCUCUCUCUAACUCUUGUCAUUAUCUGAAGCAAUGACAGAGUAUUUCAGCAGCACUACCCCAACAGAAACGAUCUGACAGUUUUCUGUUUUAAUCUCACUUGAUCCCUGGCUUUCUCUUUUCUAUUUUUCUAC